UUUUGAGAGAAGAAACUAGAAGAGAAUUACAUAACUAUACAUUUGUAUUACAUACAAUUCAUUAAGAAUAGUGGACUUAAAAAUAGAAUAUUGACAUUACAAUAUACACCUAUCACUUCACACUCAGCACAGGAGGUGGCGGUAUGCACCGAAAAAGUUGGUAUGCGACCCACCAGUAAAUCCAUAGAAGAAGAAAAAGAAGAAGAAAUGUAGAUAAUAAAUCAGACUGAUACAAAUAAUGUUUAGUAAAAGUCAAUCGCACAUAUAAAAUGUGUGUUUUUAUAAAGUCAGCCGGACUGAAUGUCAAAACAGCCUGAAAACAAACGACAUUCUCAACCUAAAGGAAGUGGAAAUUUGUUGUGACGCAAUUUGCAUAUCCUGGCGGCAACAUUCAUAAAAUGCGUUAAUGCUGCGCAUGUCUGAAAUAGAUCGCCACGCCAUUAAGCUUAAAACAAACAGCCGAGAUGACCGCGCCAUCAACUGAAUUAAACGGCAAACAAACAACAGAAUCCACGAUUUUAUGCCUGAAAGAGAUCACCACGCCAUUAACAGAAUUAAACAUCAAACGAAAAGGAUGUAGAUUUUUCCAACGCUGAAGCUGCACUCAAAGAAAUGGUGAUGGGCGUUUUUGUCAUCAGAUGUGAAGUUGGUGAUGAACCUGCGGAUGUUGGAGUAGUUCUUGAAGGAGUUACAGCACUAGAAGGGCUUGGUAAUGUAGCUAAUGGUGUUGCAUUGCUGGUUGGGCUUAUUUAUGCCCUAAAUCUUAGUUAUCCGAAGGAGUUUCGAUACACCUUUGAACUCCUGCAAAAAGUGUUCCUGGAGCUUGAUGGACACAAACUCUCCACCAAAGUUCAAGCCCUCAAGACCAAGCUUUUUACACCUCAUUAAAGGACUGAUGAACAGACUGAUCUUUACCUUGUUUUUUGUGUCAAAUAGUCAAAACAUGUUCAUGUUCACACAUUUUUAAUGCCUUUAUUGAUUUGAUUUUUUUGAUUUUUUUUUUUUUUUUGUACAUCAAGGCAUAUGUGAAGAGGAAUAGUUUCCUUAAAAAUUACAUUUGUCCUUAACUCACCCAAAGAAGGUCAAGGAAAACCAUCAAGGGUUUCAAUGAAUCAUGGGUUAGUUAAUGGUGACUAUUUUAAUUUUUUUUUUUUUUUUUUUUUGUCAAACUUGUCCUUUUACUUGUCCUUAAACACUUUUUUUCAAUGACUGUUUUAAUGGCUUCUGACUGUUCUUCAAGGAAAGAGGUUUGAAUGACAAUGUAUUUUAAAUAGUUUUCAAAGAUGUUCCACAUGGCACACAUUGUGUUUGCUUUUCCUUUACAAAAAUUAUCCAGGCACAUUUUGGAAUUAGAAUACAUUUACAGACAGCUUGAUGGACACAGGCAGUUUGAUAAAGUUUUGCACUUCAGUGGAGGCCUGAUGAACAAACAUAACCCAAACAUUAAUAUUAUUUUUUUCUUUGGAAUUGCAGGUUACUUUAUUUUUGUGAAAUGCAUUAAAAGUAAACACACUUCGCUAUUUUUUUUAUUAAUGGGUUGUACAUGUAGGAAUGUAAACCUGUUUGUUUCAUUUUGCAUUGUAAAGGAAAACAUUUCUGUACACAUUUGUUUUAUAUAAAUUGUUAAAUUCAGGCUUAAUGUGUUAAGUGUUUGAAAUGUUUUUGAAAGUGUGACACCUGCUUAAGCUGUUCCCUAGUAAAAAGAAUUUAUUACAUA